CAAACAUCCCCCUUGCUGUUACUUUUAAUUACAGUUCGCUUUGCGUUGUAUAUUUUAAAAACGUAGAAAUGACAAUAUGAGUGCAGGACAUUGAAAGGCAAUAUCUGGAUACUAUGGAAGUUUUAACCGUUUUUGCAGUGGUCAUGGCCUAUUUUUGUACAGGUUUGUAUUUAAUACAUGUACUUUUUUACGAUAAUAACACAUUUGGCAAACAUCAAAAGAUUUGUAUAUAAUUUGUCGAGGUAUGUUGAAUAAAAACACAAAAAUUAAACACAUAUCGAAAAAUCGAAAAAAAGAAAACAAACUAACACAAACGUUCUGUAUACAGAAAUUUAGUAGACCACUUAAAUAUUCCUUCAUGCAUAUGAUGUAGUUGUUGGUGUUUUGUGUACGCGUGUUCUCCUUGUUCUGCACUUCUCUACACAAGAAUGCCAUUGAUGUAGUUGUUGGUGUUUUGUGUACGCGUGUUCUCCUUGUUCUGCACUUCUCUACACAAGAAUGCCAUUGAUAUAGUUGUUGGUGUUUUGUGUACGCGUGUUCUCUUUUUACUGCACUUCUCUACACAAGAAUGCCAUUUUCUAGAAUUAUAAUGGUUGCUAUGAUUUAAACUAUAGUACAUUCGACCUUUGUGUUUAUCCUUUAAGAUACAAUCAUUGUUCUUUCAUUAAUUUGCAAAUCACUUAUCAGUUAAAAAAGUUAACACCCCAUGACGUCUUUUAUCAUUUGUUUGUGUCGUUUGGUUGCUGUCUUAUAACAUUAAAAGAUCUGAAAGCUAUACAGAUUGCAACAAUCCAUUUCACCCCGCUACAUGAUUGUGUGAGUUACCAAUGACAAUGUCAGAAAGUCAGCUGUUAUAUAUCUUGAUAAUUAUACCCCCGCUUUGAAAAAGGGGGUAUACUGUUUUACCUCUGUCUGUCCAUCAGUCCGUCCGUCUAUUAGUCCGUCAGUCCGUCCGUCCCAUGCAUAUCUUUCGUCACAUUUUUCUCAGGAACUACAAUACAAGGGUUUCUGAAAUUUGGUUUCAAGGUUUAUAUAAUAGAUAUAGGAAGAUGUGGUGUGAGUGCCAAUGAGACAACUCUCCAUACAAAUAACAAUUUAAAAAGUAAACCAUUAUAGGUUAAAGUACGGCCUUCAACACGGAGCCUUGGCUCACACCGAACAACAGCUAUAAAGGCCCCAAAAUUACUAGUGUAAAACCAUUCAAACGAGAAAACCAACGGUCUAAUCUAUAUAAACAAAACGAGAAACGAGAAACACGUAUAUAUUACAUAAACAAACGACAACUACUGUACAUCAGAUUCCUGACUUAGGACAGGUGCAAACAUUUGCAGCGGGAUUAAACGUCUGCUAUACCGUGUGAUACGUUUUCAGAUUCAUCACUCAACAACUUCCAGUUUAUCGAACACUUGCAUAUUUUUACACUAUUAAAAUUAUCCACUUGCGGCGGGGGUAUCAUCAGUGAGCUCGCAUUUUCACUUGUUUAGUCAAUUUCGAACGGCGCCAGAGAGAGAUCUGUAAAAUUCUAUGUAACAUUUUGUCAGAACUGUCUUACACAGUCCAGCUCAGAGCUAGAUAUAUAGACACUUGAAUAUUGUAGAAGAACGUUUUUUAUCAGAUCUAAAACCAGCAAAGCUCGGGCCUAUGACUAAUUUAAUGACCUUAUAUAAUUCAUAAUCUUAUGUAACGGCGUUUUCUAUGUAGUAUACGGUUUAUAUACUGUUUGCAUCACUCCCUGAAAGUUGGGCGUGUCUUCGUCAAGUUAUCUAGCAUCUAAACAAAGAUGAUACUCGAAAGGCAACUCGCUUGCUGAGAAUUGAACAUUUAAGACAAUAUUUUCAUGGAACCAGUCCAGAACUUUAUCGAAAUAUUACCAUAUCAUGUCAUUAUAUAUAAUUCUAAAGAAUAUCAAACGCUUGACCCAUUCGGAGCCUUGAGCGGCCCAAGACUGUCUGCAGAAAGACUAUAGUCGUGCACUGUGCGCAGAACUUCAACAAAGCUAUAUGCUUUGAGCUAGGCACUAGACUACAUCAGAUUAAUUAAUGUCUGUAAUUUACUGAAACCCCUAUAUAUAUGGUCUUUCAACAUUAAAUUGGACCGGUAUAUUACAGCCUUAAGACAAUGCCUACCAUUUAACAGAAUAUAACCGUGAUUUGCUCUAAUGUUAAAAGUCUCGAAGGUAUAUUUUCCUCAUUUAAAUCCUUGACAACCGUAAAGUCGUCAAUUAUCGGAAACAAAUAAUUGAUUGCAGUGUGUACAUGUACAUGCUAUAGGAAUUAUCAGUUCUAUACGACUUAUUUAAUUUGUAUUGACAAAGUAUUCUAUUCAAUAUAUAAAGUGAUACAGUUGUUGACAGUUUACAUGGUAAUGUUGAAACAAGUAAUAAGUUGCAUUCUACAGAAAUUCAUAUUACUUUGAGAUUUAUGUAAUUUGUAUUGACAAAGUGUUAUAUUCAGAAUAUAAAGCUACAAAGUUGUUGACAGUUUACAUGGUAACGUUGAAACAAGUACAAAUGUAAUAGAAUGCAGUCUAUAGAAAUUCACACUACUUUGCGACUUAUUCACGGCCGACACUCGGCUAACCGAGAGAUUGGUCGGUUAAUCUAUAUUGAGUAUGUGGCUAUAUCGGGUCGUGGGUCUGUUAAUCGGGUUGGCUAAAGUCUGUUAAUCAGGUGUUAUCGAGGAAAUCAUUGGAAAUUCUGCAUGUUUCAUUGUAUAACUUUUCAAAAUUUAUGUUUAUCAUAAAAAUUAUUCAUGUCUAACAAAACAAUUCAAUGUUACUGAAUCCAGUGGGUAAUUAUUAUUUUUCUAGCUUCGAUGUACGCUCUUUAAAAUGAAAAGGCGUGUUACUCAUCAAUAAAUUUAUACACAUUUUACACACACAAAAUGUACACAAAAAGACACGUUGGUUGAAUUUACUUGCAUGUGAUAUUUUGAACAUCGAACAAAGACAGGCAUUAUGUUUGUCAACCAAAUUGAUAUCAUUGUGUGAAAAAUCUACACAAAAAUCUGUAUUUUGGUGACAUAAAUCAAUCUUUAUUUAAACCUGGUCUGUUAAUGGUCGGAUUGAUAAAACCCGGUCGUUAAUUGGUCUGUUAAGAGUUAUGAAUGGCAAUAAAAGUAUAAUUUUAUUGCUGUAUAGGAUGUUAUCGGAUCAAAUGGGUAGGCUCAAGACGAGUGGCUAAAAUAUACGGAAAACAACACAUGAGCAAUGAAACAUAAUAUAUACGGAAACACUGACAUGAACAAUGAAUUUAGGCCAUGAAUAUUGAAAACUGAUAUAAAAAAAUGUAAUAUUAAAGUAUUAUUAUACAUCAUGUUAAAAUGCCAUAUUACGAAGGUGUUAAUUUACUCUAUCACAUGGCUGAGCGGGUGACAAUUUUUCGGAAUGUCACCCUCUCGGCUAGACCAAUCAAAAAUCGGCAGUUUAAACGACAAUGAAUUGAAUCUACAUCAAGUUAUUUUAUAGACAAUGCUUAAAGUUCUAAUUUACUAUACAACGAAGCGUGGAACGACUCAAACUUAUUUCUUUUACAAUUGUUGGAAAACGUAUUUCACUUGUUAAUAUUUUUACUUUAAAACCUAUAAAUCAUUGUGUGUUAUGCUUAUUGUUGAUAUUAAACGCAUUCGUUCACCAUCGAUGGGUUUCAACUGGUGAUGUACAUUUCAUUAUGUUCAUUGUGAUGUAUAUUUCUCAGCCAGAUAUGAGGCCUUUUGAAAGGGGUAUUUACCCAAAAUUUAAAUUAAAUAAAUAACAAUAACAAAAUAACAACAAUUGAAAAUAUUUUUUUUCUUGAUAGCAGAGCUUUUUUCCCGUUUCUGGCCUAAUCCUUGUAUCGUUUAUAUGUCAAGUCAAUGCACUACUAUUGUCUAUUUACUUCACUUCUGAUGAUUUUUCAAAGUACCCGUUACGCUGUCAAGUACGUGACUACAUAGAAAAUACUUUAUAAUAAAACUCAUCUGUUAAAGAAAAUGAUGAUAGGACAUUCAUUAUAAUAAAUCAAAUAUCACAUAGCUGAGAGGGUGAUAGAGCAGAUCGGUACCCCUCGAAAAAACAAUGUCAACCUUGGCUUCGCCGCGGUUGACAAUGUUUUCUCGGGACCCAAUCUACUCUAUCACCCUCUAAGCUAUGUGUUAUUUAUAUCUUAUCACAUUAUUUGUUACGGAUACGGACACAUUUUAAAGAUUUACCUGUUAUGUUUCAUUAAAUUGUUAUAAUUGAACUUCUUUUCCCUCUUUUCUGCAACACUUAAAUAUGUGAUAAAUAGCUUAAAGAUUAUAACAUGUUUUUCCAUAUUUUGCCCUGGUAAUCAAUCCUCAACCCAUAUCGGCCUCGGCUAAAGCCUCGAGGCCGACAUGGGAGUCUCGGGAUGAUACCAGGGCUAAUAUAGAAAAGGGCAUGUUAUAAAUCUAUACAUAUUGAUUUCAUCCAAGAAUGGUCGCAUAUAUCAUGUGGAUUCUGUUUAGGUUGUCAUGAAUGACACUAAUUUGUAUCUAAAUUGUAUUAACCAGUAUAUAAAUCAGAGAUAAAACGUCGUAAUGUAACUUAACAUCAGUAAGUAAAAUAUAUUGGGAUGCUAGAAUAUAUAAAGAAUAAAGAAAUAAUAAUGAGUAAGAUAAAAUAAAAUGUAGAGAAAAGUAACAGACAAUUUAAAGAAUAUAAAAAUAAACAACACCCCAAUCCGGACCCUCAUUGUAUACACGAGAAUCUGGAUUGAAACACAGAAUAUAUAGAAUAAUAGAUAAAACAGUAGGAAGUGAUGCAUUAUAAAAAAGAUAGAAAAUAUAACUGUUUGGAAUAAAGACAUGAAACACCCCUGGGUGUUGAAACAAUAACGGAUGCUAUGUACUCAUAUUGGUAAUAAAUGCAAAAGUUUACAUGCGGACAACUGCAGUUCUCCUCUGCACUUAUGUAGAAAGGAACUAAACGGAAUAAAAUGAAUUAACUUAAGAUAACCAAAUGUAGCUGCAUUCGCUCCUUUCCAUUUACUUCUUUAGACUGAUUUGUAAACAACAGAUGAUUCAGUAUAGAAGAAAAGAACCAAUCGGAUGAUGUUGACGAUUUAGAGUUAACGUCCAGUGACAAUAUCAUGGCAUAUGAGAACGACAACACGUUAUGUGACCCUUUGUUGUAUUAGAAAGACAUUUCGGACGGAUUGAGACGUGCUACUUUGAAAAGACACAAAAAUUAAGGCUGAAGAACGUUAAUAAUAGAUUUUCUGCAUAUCCAGCAGGCAAUCCAUAUCCAUAUAUUGAAGUGACACACCCCUUAAUAAAAUGCAAAGGAAGUCAAAAUAAAAAUGUUCUUACUAGAAGGAUACUGUUGCAGCGUAUUGUCAUUUUUUUUUUACUAGUCAAGAUGAUCUCAUUCUGAACUUUUUCAAAGGGAAAAUAUGAAAGUAGCACAGCUAUUGUCGUGGCUAAAUAACUCUUAACUGACACAAUUUCAAUUGUCCAACCCAUUAACAGAAUUCCAUAAUGUCCACUAAAACGUGGUAUUACUCACGUUAUAUUACAAUUAUGAAAUAUUUACUAAUUUCAAUUUAUAUUUUAGAACCAAAGUACGAUUUUGUGUCCUUUAAAUGAUAUCAAAAUUGUUUUUUUUCGCCUUUCAUUACAAAUUGCUAUGCGUAUAAGCAUAAAUACUACAUACUUGCGCGACGCCUUUUAGUUUUACUGAAAACUGCGAUGACUAUGAAAUGUUUUUACAGUUGGAAAUGUUCUAUGAUAUAUAUCAUUUUGUCAGACACUUUUCUUUUUUGAUUUGUUCUUAUAAAUGACCUAAAUCUGUAUAUUAAAUAGAUUUUAAUAUUAAAAUUGUGCGUUUUACUCUUAACAGACGUAUAACCAACCCGAUUAACAGACCAACCGCCGAUAUAGCCGUAUACUCAAUAUAGAUUAACCGACCUAUCUCUCGGUUAGCCGAGUGUCGGCCGUGUUAUUUAAUUUAUAUUAACAAAGUAAUUUAUUCCAUACAGACAAAGGCUUUAAGCUGAACAGUUGUAAAACGUUUGCACCAUAAUGUUGAUACAAGUAAUCAUUUUUAUUCAGUCUGUGAAUUAUUUAAUAUGUGUUAACAAAGAAUUAAAUUCAAUGCAAGUAAAGCCAGUAGCAACACCAGAUAUUUGCAAACGGAGGGGACCCGCUCCAGUCAUGUUUCAGUGAUUCCCUAGAUCUAUAAUCAAUUUUUCUAAAAAAAAAAAGGGGGACCGGACCCACUGGUUUUACCCCUACAUUCUCCUAUGAAAGCAAUACAGUUAUUAAAAGAUCAAAUUAUAAUGUUGAACCAAUUAAUAAAUUGAAGUCUGUAAGAAUUCGCAUUAAUCUCCGACUUAUUAAAUUUGUAUUGAUAAAAUUUCGAUUCCAAGUAACGCGAUACAUUUGUUAAAAGUUUCAUCAUAAUGUUGACACAAGUAAUGAAAACAGAAUGUUUGUCGAUAAAAAUUUAAGUGCUACUCCGCUUAAGAAUCGUGAUUCAUACAUGUAGAUUGGAAACCUUUUUUUUUAUAUUUGAUAUUUUGUUCAAAAUGCAAAGUUAUAUUUAAAAUUACCACAGAUUUUUUCUUUAACCCUUGGUCAUGGCAGAUGUUAAUUAUAUGAAAUGCACUAUGAAAGUCUAAAUAAGGAAUUAACUCCAUAAUAAUUUUGUUACAUUUUUUAUUCCACUUCUGAAUCAUUUCUUUUCCGAAUUGUACAUUAAUUGUUAGUGUUUUCACGCUACUUUUAAGUGCCACUUUAGUAUAAUUUCGUGGCGGUCUGUUUUUAUUGGUGAAGGAAGCCAAAUACCAACCUACGAUAGGAAAACUUAAAUUCCUAGUCAAUAAAGAUCGGAGUCGUGUGCACCUGAACGGGUGGUGUUCAAACUUACAACCUCAGUAUAGACUGGCUAGAACUACUUAACCACAGGCCACCUUAUUAUACAUUGUACAUUGACUGGCUAGAACUACUUAACCACAGGCCACCUUAUCAUACAUGUCAUUUAUCUUCUAUUAUAUAUUUUUUGCAUGAAAUUCUGAAAAUUAACUUGAUCAUUUUCCUUAAAAUCAUUUUGAUGUUCGGUAAAAUUAAAUGUAACUAACCACUAUAACCCUAAAGGAUUAUGUAACCUUUUGUUGAUUCAAUGCUAAACAUAUUGAAAUUUUACAGAAAUUCCACAGCCUUUUUCCUUAAACUCUCAUAUUUGGCAAUUCGGUGCAUGAUAGACAGAGGAUUAAUGCAUGCAGUGCAUUUUUAAUGAUUUCCUAAAAUAAGUUUAUAAAUUUAGUUAUUGGUUAAAACAAAUAUAAAUAUGGACCAAUUCAAGUAAACCUUCUAGGGUGCGAUCGGCUUUAGUGACUCAGCACGAGGUGUUUUGGAAUUUAAAGGUUGUUUAUGACUUUUUGUAAACAAUAAACGCUAACACAUUAUAGAAAGCAAGCGAGCAAUCUAUCAUGUAUCAAAUUUUAUAACAAAAAUCUUUGUAUCAAAGUCUGUGGAUUUUCUACAAAAACCUUGGUUUUAUUUUCACCAAAUUUUCUUUCUCUACUAAAUGCAAUUAAACUAUUAUAGAUACUAAUGCUUUGUAAGAAGUUUUCCCUUAGUAUAUGUACAAAAUGGGCAAUAUCUAUUAUUCAUUAUAUUUGCUGUUUUGAUACUAUUGCAGUUUCAAACUAUCGUAGUUCACAGGAUACAGAAGGGGUCAUAAAUCUUAAAUAGAACACGCAUCUGUCAUGUACUCAUUCCUAUUCAUAAAACUUGAUUUAAAUUCAAUUCAAUUCAAAUCUUUAUUGCCAUAAAACUACAUAUUUAUAGUAUGUGACACAAAAUAUAACAACAAGAUCAUUAAUAUACAUAAUAAAAGUAAAUAUUUUAAGAGUCCUCUGUUCUCAAUUCAAUAGACUGUUUUAAAAAGGAUCCUAGCUUAUUUACCUGAAUGUGUGAAAUUGGGUUGAGUGUAUAUGUUAUUUUAUCUAUUUCAUUUAGAUUUAUAAAGUUGAUUUUCUCAUUUAUAAAAAAAUCAAAAUGAACUUUUCUAUUAUUAUGGUUUCUAAUACAAUAUAAAAAGAAAUGAAUUUCAUCUUCAAUUUGUUUACAGUGUUUGCAUAAUCUUUCUUCUCUUGGUAUUUUAAGUUAUCUUCCUUUUUUUAUUACUAGAAAACGCACAACUUUAAAACGGAAACCAUUUUGGGGUUCAUAUUUCACUGACUUUCGGAAAAAUUAUAAGGUUCUGCUCUUUUCAAACAUUUCUGGCCAAUCCUAUAUAUAUAUGUCUAUCAACUUUCUUUUCUAUACUCUAUAAUAGUUUAUGAUGAAAUCUCGCUCGAAGUAACCACUGUUUAAGUUUUGUAAAUGACAGUUCAUAUAAAUCAGCAGUUAAAUGUUGUGUUACACCUUAAUAUCGGAGCAUUCAUUGCAAUCUAGGAACACUCCGCUAAGAAAAUGUUUCCAUCGAUUCUAUUUUUCUUGAUUCAUCUCUCACAAUGAUAUUCUACACUUUAUUUUCUUCCCCAGUAAUAAAUCUAUAUAAUUGAAGACAACGGUCUGUUGAAAGCUGGUAAUGAGACGUAUCUGACAUUUUCAUUAUUUGUAAACCUCCCAAGAGAAGAGUCAAAUUGAUUUCUUCCACAAUAGUAAUUCUUUUACUUUUUGUUUGUAUUAAAGCCAAUUGGAAAAUGUUGCAAAUGAUCAACUGAUCUCCUUCAUAAUAGAUACAAUAUAUAAGAAGAUGUGGUAUAAGUAUAAGUGCCAAUACGACAACUCUCCAUAGUAACCAAGUCACAAUGUGUAAAACAAAAACAAUUUUAGAUCAAAUUACGGCCUUCAACACACAAUCUAAGUUUAAACCGAACAGCAAGCUAUCAAUGGCACCAACAUGACUAGAAUAAAACAAUCAAUAUAAAAAAGAAGAUGUGGUAUGAUUGCCAAUGAGACAACUAUCUACAAAAGACCAAAAUGACACAGACAUUAACAACUAAAGGUCACCGUACGGCCUUCAACAAUGAACAAAGCCCAUACCGCAUAGUCAGCUAUAAAAGGCCCCGAUAAGACAAUGUAAAACAAUUCAAACUAGAAAACUAACGGCCUUAUUUAUGUAAAAAAAAUGAAGACAGGAAAACCAACGGUCUAAAAUAUAAUUAUAUACAAGAAAACAUAAAUCAUCAUCAAUCGACAACUACUGAACCAUUCGUCUCAACUCGGCCGAUUCCGUCUACCGAAGAUUGCCGAAUGCUACUGAACAUCAGAUUCCUGACUGGGGAUACUUUAGGUGUAAGCACUUUUGCAGAGAAUGUUUUCAUCGAUUCUAUAUUACUUGUUUCAUCUCUCAAUACUAUUCUACACUUUGUUUUCUUCUUCAGUAAUAAAUCUAUAUGAAAAAAUAAUCUAAUUGAAGACGACGUCUGUUGAAAGCUUGUAAUGAGACGUAUCUGACAUUUUCAUUAUUGGUAAACCUCCCUUAAGAAGAGUCAAAUUGAUUUCUUCAACAAUAGUAAUUUUGUUUGUAUUAAAGAAAAUUGGAAAAUGUAGCAGCCGAUCUGCUGAUCUUGUCUACUUGGAUGCUUAAGAGAAACUAACGGUAAAAUAGAGAAUGGAAAUGGGGAAUAUGCAAGGUCAAACAGAUGUAAUCGGAGAGCAUGAACUUCAUUACAAAAUUGCUUGUAUCCAUGAGGACUCGAACCCGGGACAGCGCGUUAAUCGACUGAGCUAAAUAUGUACUUCCUUAGCUCAACCGCUGUAAUGAGCAGGAGAGCAUGCAUUUCAUUACAAAAUAGCUGGUACAUGCCGGGACUCAAACCCGGGUCCUCUGUGUAACAAGCCAGCGCGUUAACCGACUGAGCUAAAUAAGUACUUCCUCAGAUCAACCGCUUACGGCUAUAACUAAGCAUCUACCACAUUUCUAAGUAAAGCAAUCCAGUUACACAGAUAUAAUGUCGCUACCCGACCAAAGAGAAGAAAACAGCCCAAAGCCACCAAUAGGUCUUCAUCGCAGAGAGAAUGACUCAAACCAGGAGGCGGGCUUCAGAUUUGUCAACGAAUACAGUAGCGGGUCUAGAAAUUUUCAUAAGUGGGGGCCCACUGACUGCAUAAGUUGGGGCCCGCUCCGGGCAUGCUUCAGUUUUCCCUAUAGUAUAAUUAAUUAUUUUUUUCCUAGAGAAAGGGAGGGAAAGGCCCCCCUGGCCCCCUCCAAAUCCGGCUCUGGAAUAUGACACCUCCGUAUUUUUCUGUCUGUUUUUUUAUUUCGUCGAUUGGAGGACAUACGGACUUAACAAAGACUUUUAAGUAUGACAGCACACAAUAAAUAACAUAAACGUCAGCUUAAUGUCUUCUUAAACCUUUUUCUUUAAAAAUUAACGGAAGGUCAAAAUCGAAAUCCGUGAAUAUGAAUAAUUUAAUUAUUCUAUCGAGUCAUUGUUAUUUAAGGGCAUACGAUACAGUUACAGGGAAGGUAAUGACGUUGCUAACGUAAAAUGUUAUUUUCGCGACGUCAAACUGUGACUUAUCGGGAAAAGAUGCAUUUUCGACUGAUUUUUAUCAUUCAAACUGAUUUAAUUUGAAAACGAGUGCAUGGACCCCCAUUUUUUAAAACGACAUUUUGUUUCAUUUUGCAGGGAGAAUAUGUGGACCAAAUUUUAUAAAACUGUAAAUAGUGCAAUUUUUUUAAUAUUAAUAAAUAUACAGCAAAAAUUGACGUUUUUUUCUCAAUUCAUGACCAUUUGAUAAAUAUGAGUUAUUUUUUAAAAAAAUUAAAUAAAUUUUUAGAAUACUUAUAAAAUACAGAAAUUACAAAUUAUUUAACAAAAAACAAUUUGUGUUUAUCUUUUAAAACAAAAAAGUUAUGUCUUUACUUCGAAAGGGAAAAUUUGGGCACAAAUCCGAAUUUUGAGCAAAUAUACAAAAUUUCGAGCUCAUUUAACUCAAAAAGUAGCACAUGAAGGUAUAUUUUUUAUUACAUAUUUGAUUUAAUCAGGUAAAAAAUAGCCUACAUGCAAAUUUUCAUCAACUUGUAAAUACGGGAUCAAAACUGUAUCGUAUGCCCUUAAGGAAUGACUGUAAUAUUUUUCUGUCUAUGAAGAAAUAACAUAAAAAAUGUGGUGCACACUGAAUAACGCGCGUAGUCAUUUCUUAUAAUUUAAAUCUAAAUUCCAUUUUAAACCGUAGAAAACCUUGAAAAAACGUUAAUGACGUCACGGUCACAUGACUAAAUUACGUCUAUGGGCUUAUAACAAAAAAACGUCAGCCAAUCAAAAGACGUGUUACAUCCAAAAUUAAAUUAUUUAAAAAUGUACAUAAUUACCGAUCGUUAUCGAUAAAGUUCAUUGUUUUACGUUGUUAAGAUACUUAUCAUCAAUGGGUUGAACAUUGACAAAUAUGCAUGCAUCAGAAACAUUUAUGUGAACAGAUGUUAGGUGUCCAUGAUAGUAACUUUAUUACGCGGACUGAUCUUAAUCCUUUAUGUGAACCGUCUUUUAAUAUUCCUGAAUAUAAAUGCCGAUGAAAAAGGCAAGAUAUGUACCAAAGAGACGAUCAAAAUUUUUGAGGCGAAAAUCAACCGAAAACAAAGCGUAAAAUGAGAGAGAGAGUAACCUAAAAGGACCAAUAAAAAGUCAAAUAGAAUCCGAAACUACCAUGACCAAACAUAUUCAAAAACGAACAGACAAAAAGACAAACAAAUGAUUAAGAAAUUGCCUUGUAUGUCUUAUAAUGUUUCUUAUUUGAAUAUUUUAGGAAUUACUUUAAAUUUUGUUCUAUCUAUGAAGAAAUAAAUAAAUUUGGUGCAUUUACUGUCUUCUGAUUGGUUAAAAGAAUUAGCUUUAUUUUCAAUGUUAUCAAUUUUUAUGGCGACACGCCCACUCUAACGUUGUGUAUUCAUACGCAAACAUCUGUAUACGUUGUUAUUCGUAUAAAUAUACAUCUUUGAGCCUUAUUUUUGAUAGAAAUUUAUUAUUAUAAAUGGCAAUAAUUUAUUUUAAUUUAUUGAACCAUAAAAUUAAUUUUCAAAUUGACUCUUCACAUUGAAUAAUCCGCGAAGCGGAUUAUGUUAAAUGUGAAGAGUCAAAAACUAAUUUUAUGGUUCAAUAAAUUCAAAAUAAAUAACAGCCAUUCAUCAAAUAACAUAAAAAUAUGGUGCACACUUAAUAACUCGUGUAUCAAAAUCAUAGAAAACUUCAUCGGCUCUAAUUCAGAAUAUGAACAAUGUUAAGGGGGUCUUGAAAUCUUUUGACAGCUUCCGAAGUGCUUAUUUGUAACAUUUUUAUCUGGACCAUAUCACUACAUAACUUUUCUUUAAAAUUCAUAACCGAAAUUUUAUUACAGUGUAAUUUCACCCCCUACAUGUACUUGCUAUUUGGGGUAUGGAAUAUGAACCCGUCCCAUACAUUUGGAGGGGGUACUACAAAAAUUGGCAAGCAAACACUCUCCACACUAGGGACUAUGGAAAAAAAAUCAAAGGACGAUAACUGUGUACUCGGACCUAUUGUUAUACAUUUUUCAUUGCUUGACAUGUUACAGAUUAUUAUACUUCAAGAGUUUUACUCAUCGUUUUAUACUGUACGGUGGUUGAGCUACCAUAACUAACUUGUUUCAUACUCAAAAACCCAUUUUACAUUAAUUAAAAAAAAAACGUUCAGUUUUGAUUUCGAUAUUUGAGAAUUAUAAAUUUGACUAGCAGAAGUAGUAUUACUCAGUGGCGGAUCCAGAAAUUUUCAGAAGUGGGGACCCACUGACUGUCUUAGACAUGUUAGAGGAGGACUAUUCCAGUCAUGCUUCAGUGGUUCCCUUUAUAAUCAACCAUUUUUCCAGGAAAGGGGGCACCCUGUCCACCCACUCACCACCCUCUGGAUUUCUAUCAUAUUCCUACAAAAUCGUUUCAUCUUUAUAUCAAGAAAUAGCAUUUCAUUAUUCAUAAAAAAAAAAAGAAGAAGAUAUGUGGUAAAAUUCCCAGUGAGACAACUCUUCACAAGAGAUCAAAGUACCAAUACACUGUCAGAAAGUACUCUUUCCAUAUAUAGGAAAUCGUUACUUCAGAAAGGUGAAUAAAUAACGUAUGAAAUUCCAAUGACACGCCGUGGCGAUGAAAGCUUCAGUUUCUUUAAUGUUCUGUAAUGUUCCAGACAUUUAAAACUAAAAUUAGAUUAGUUUGACACUAAUUCUAUGGAAUAUAGUCCCUUGUGGUCUUACAUAACUUGUGACGGAUCACAUUACGGUAAUUGGAUAUAACACAUAACGUAAACUUCAACGCUCUACGACUUAUAUCCUGUGUCACGAUGAGGCUCGGCAGGGAAUACAAAAGUCAUGAUGGAGUUGUAAGCUAUCAAAAUAAAUAUAAUUGAUGGGGGAAACAAAUAAUGUUUUAUUAUAUUUUAUUAUAUACUGUGUAUUUUCCUGGAUACUCAGAAAGUAUUUCACUGGGAUACUUUAUUGAAGCUUGGACAAUGAAGUAAAGAUGUAACAAGCAAUUUGAAGAAUAAAGAAUAUUUAUUAGUUGGUAAAAAAAAAAUAAAAAAUCAAUUUAUAUUAUUUUUGUUUUUGUUUUUUUCGUUUCAUUAAUUGGUCUCUUGUUAGGUCGAAGAUAUUUUAAGCUCGGUCUUUGUUAAACAUAGCUUUUUAUCACGCAAAUUGAGUUCAAAUUGAGAAUGGAAACGUGGAAUUUGUCAUAGAGACAAUUUUACAACCCGUACCGAAGAGGGGACAACAGCACAAGGCCACCAAUGGGUGUUCAACGCAGUGAGAAAAUACCUCACCCGGAGAAAUAGCAUGUGAAUUUUAUUUUAAGAAAUUGAAUGAUUUAAAAAAAAAUAUGAAAUUUCUUUUACCUUUUUUGUAUGAUACAUGUAGGUAAUUAAAUGAAUGUAAAUAUAUACAAUUUAAAAAAUAUGAAAAAAGAAGAUUGGGUGUGAAUGCCAAUGAGACAAGUUGAACCCUCCACAAAAUACCACAGAAAUUAACAACUAUAAAUCGCCAUACGGCCUUCAAUAAUUAGCAAAGCCAUAAGCUACAAAAGGCCCCGAAAUUACUAUGUAAAACAAUUCAAACGAGAAAACUAACGGCCUAAUUAUUUAUGUAUAAGAAAUGAACGAAAAACAAAAAAACGAAAAACAAAUAUGUAACAAAUAAACAAACGACAACCACAUUUGUAUUGAUUUCAGUCAAUAUACUUUUGGGUCGACAUAUCCUCGUAUGCUUUAUUAUGUAUUAAUCGUUCGGCGUUACGCGCGGUUUAUUUACCUAACGUCUUGAACUUCUUAUUUUCUAAAUAGCUUUAGCAAAUAUCAUUAUCUUGUUCAAAUUUAUUUCACAUGUUAGAACAAAAAGACUAAUGGUACAUUUAAUGUUUAUCCUUACUAUUUAUCAAUAUGUAUGUCAUGUUUAGUAAUAAAAACAAGCGGAUAAGAAAAAAAAUGCUGGUAUGCAAACUAAUAACCAUUUGCCACAUGUGGAGCAGGAUCUGCUUACCCUUCCGGAUCGAGCACCUGAGAUCACCCCUAGUUUUUGGUGGGGUUCGUGUUGUUUAUUCUUUAGUUUUCUAUGUUGUGUCAUGUGUACUAUUGUUUUUCUGUUUGUCUUUUUCUUUUUUAGCCAUGGCGUUGUCAGUUUGUUUUAGAUUUAUGAGUUUGACUGUCCCUUUGGUAUCUUUUGUCCCCCCUUUUUUUUUAAAGUUUAGAAAGUAUACAAAGCUUAGGCAGUGGAAUAAAACAUUCAUUUCCCUUGGCCUCGGGAGAUAUGAAGAUUUGACAACCCUCGAAAAAUCAUAUUUUCCUCGGGCAGAGCCCUCGUGAAAUAUGAAUAUUCUUGGGUUAACAAAUCUUUAUAUCUCCCUUCGGCUCGGGAAAUAAAUGAAUAAUAUUGUACGUUGAGAACAAACAUGCUGUGCCAGAGGAGGUGUUUCAUGAUGGUGCCGUGUGCAAAAAAACAACAAGUCACGUGAUCAUAAUAACUUACAUCAUCAACGCUGUAAAGGAGAACACAAGAGCUGAUAGUAGUAGUAUUAGGUUUUAAACAAAGAGAGUUAUCUCACAUGCUUCCAAACUUAUUGAUUAAUUGACAAUCGCAAAAUACUAUUCUUUAAUUUUCAGAAUGUCAUGGACUCAUGUGUUAUAAAUGUGAAAACGAACGAAACAAUUUUCUGUGUGUUGGAGAAUAUAAUCUGAAGCCAUGUGACUCGGGAUUUGAUACUUGUCAGACGACAGUGUCAUACUCAGGUAAAUAUCGUAUGUAAAGCAGAGUGAUUCAUUUGUGAUUCAGGAAUAUAUUAUACUUGCAAGACAGCCUUGACAUACUCAGGUAAAUAUAAUCUAAAGCAAAAUGAUUCUUUUGUGAUUCAGGAAAAAUAUACUUGUCAGUCAACAUUGUCAUACUCGGGUAAAUAUAAUAUAAGUAAAGUGAUUCAUUUGUGAUUCAGGAUUCGAUACUUGUUACACGACAGUGUCAUACACAGGUGAAUAUAAUCUGAAGUAAAAUGAUUAAUUUGUGAUUCAGGAUUCGAUACUUGUCAGGCGACAGUGGCAUACUCGGGUAAAUACAAUCUUAAGUAAAGUGAUUUCUUUGUGAUUCAGAAAUCAAUUCUUGUAAGACAACAGUGUCAUACUCAGGUACAUAUAAUAUAAAGUAAAGUGAUUCUUUUGUGAUUCAGGAAUUUAUGCUUGUCAGACAAUAUUGUCAUACUCAGUUAAAUAUAAUAUAAGUAACGUGAUUCAAUUAUGGUUCAGGAAUCGAUACUUGUCAGACAACAUUGUCACACACGGGUAAAUAUAAUCUUAAGUAAAGUGAUUCAGGAUUCGCUACUUGUCAGACGACAGUGUCAUACACAGGUUAAUAUAAUAUAAGUUAAGUGAUUCAUUUGUGAUUCAGGAAUCGAUACUUGUAAGGACAACAUUGUCAUACUCAGGUAAAUAUAAUAUAAGUAAAGUGAUUCAUUUGUGAUUCAGGAAUCGAUACUUGUCAUACGACAUUGUCAUACUCAGAUAAAUAUAAUCUACCGUAAAGUGAUUCACUUGUGAUUCAGGAUUCGAUUCUUGUCAGACGACAGUGUCAUACUCAGGUAAAUAUAAUAUAAGUAAAGUGAUUCCUUUGUGAUUCAGGAAUCGAUGCUUGUCAGACAACAUUGUCAUACUCAGGUAAAUAUAUUAUAAGUAAAGUUAUUUAUUUGUGAUUCAGGAAUAGAUACUUGUCAGACACCAUUGUCAUACUCAGGUAAAUACAAUAUAAGUAAAGUGAUUCAUUUGUGAUUCAGGAAUAGAUACUUGUCUGACACCAUUGUCAUACUCGGGUAAAUAUAAUAUAAGUAAAGUGAUUCAUUUGUGAUUCAGGAAUAGAUACUUGUCAGACACCAUUGUCAUACUCGGGUAAAUAUAAUAUAAGUAAAGUGAUUCAUUUGUGAUUCAGGAAUCGAUACUUGUCAUACGACAUUGUCAUACUCAGGUAAAUAUAAUAUAGGUAAAGUGAUUCAUUUGUGAUUAAGGAUUCGAUACUUGUCAGACGACAGUGUCAUACACAGGUGAAUAUAAUCUGAAGUAAAGUGACUCAUUUAUGAUUCAGGAAUUGAUACUUGUCAGACGACAUUGUCAUUCUCAGAUAUAAUAUUAUACAAAGGCAUGUGAUUCAUAUGUGUUUCUAAUUUGGUACCUCACAGACAACGUUGUCAUACUCAGGUAUUAUAAUAUAAUCUAAAGCAAAGUGAUUCGUUUGGGAUUCAGGGAUAUACUUGCCAGACGACAGUGUCAUAAUUAGGUAUAACAUAAUAUAAAGCAAUAUAAAUCAGUCUGGCAGGAUUCGAUUCUUGUCAAAAAACGUUGUCAUAUAUCCAAUAUUUUAUGGUAAUAUUCUUUACAAAGUACAAUAAUGUCGGCAUUCAAAAGCUAAACACACCUUUUAAGGUAACAGGUACGUAAAUGGCUUGUCCUGUGAUUGUUAAAAGAAAUUGGAUGCACGUAGAACUUAUUAAAAGAAAAUGAAAAAUCGAAAAAUUUAACCUUAUGCGGAGGCGCUAUGUAGUAAACUAAAUGUACAUUUUAUUACGAAAUUUUCAAUAUAUCACAAUUUACAAUGCUUUUAACAUGUUGAGUUAUGUGUUAUUUAUUUCUCUUUUUUUUACAGAGGUAAGCGAACAGCUUUCAAUAAUCAAGACCUGUACGAAAAAUUCCUCGUGUCACCUGCAAAUAAAAGAACAUUCAGAAUCCGUCCCAUGUGAUCAAACCGGAAGUAGUUGGAUAUGCACCACGUGUUGUAAUGAGGACGCGUGUAAUUUAAACAAUGCACCUAGUAAAG
rnacentral:lncRNA from 1 species